rnacentral:tRNA from 1 species
GGAAUGUGGCUCAAGUGGUAGCGUGCUCGCCUGGCAUGGCGGAGUGCUGGGUUCGAUCCUCAGCACCA